AGUCGUACGAGACGAUUGAAAGCUUGCUUUUGAAAGUCGAGUGGCAAACGGGUGAGUAACGCGUAGACAACCUGCCGUAAAGAUGGGGACAACAGUUCGAAAGGACUGCUAAUACCGAAUGUUGUAGAGUUUCCGCAUGGGGAUCCUACUAAAGGUGGCCUCUACUUGUAAGCUAUCGCUUUACGAUGGGUCUGCGUCUGAUUAGCUAGUUGGUGGGGUAACGGCCUACCAGGGCGACGAUCAGUAGCCGGUCUGAGAGGAUGAACGGCCACAUUGGAACUGAGACACGGUCCAGACUCCUACGGGAGGCAGCAGUGGGGAAUCUUCCGCAAUGGGCGCAAGCCUGACGGAGCAACGCCGCGUGAGUGAAGAAGGGUUUCGACUCGUAAAGCUCUGUUGUCGGGGACGAAUGUGGAGAUGGUGAAUAACCAUUUCCAAUGACGGUACCUGACGAGGAAGCCACGGCUAACUACGUGCCAGCAGCCGCGGUAAUACGUAGGUGGCGAGCGUUGUCCGGAAUUAUUGGGCGUAAAGGGAGCGCAGGCGGGAAGGUAAGUCUAUCUUAAAAGUGCGGGGCUCAACCCCGUGAGGGGAUGGAAACUAUCUUUCUUGAGUGCAGGAGAGGAAAGCGGAAUUCCUAGUGUAGCGGUGAAAUGCGUAGAUAUUAGGAGGAACACCAGUGGCGAAGGCGGCUUUCUGGACUGUAACUGACGCUGAGGCUCGAAAGCGUGGGGAGCGAACAGGAUUAGAUACCCUGGUAGUCCACGCCGUAAACGAUGAAUGCUAGGUGUAGGAGGUAUCGACCC
rnacentral:rRNA from 1 species